rnacentral:sRNA from 1 species
AGAUAGAAUGAUUGCUUUGGCAUUAAGAAACUUGUUAACUGACUUUCACUAUGAUUUUGUUUUUAAAAGGAGAAUGCAGUUGAAGCUAAUUUUAUUUUAUUUGUGGAUAGAGAAACUGUUGGAACUGCUUUACAAAGUGUUUUAACGGCCCACCUGAGGAUAUCGACCCUAAGGACUCAUAUCUCAUUACAAGAAGCAUCAUGGCCGAGCCAGACUACAUAGAAGAUGACAAUCCUGAACUUAUUAGGCCUCAGAAACUGAUCAAUCCUGUCAAAACCUCCCGGAACCAUCAAGAUCUUCACAGAGAACUUCUUAUGAAUCAAAAAAGGGGUCUUGCUCCUCAGAACAAACCAGAAUUGCAGAAGGUGAUGGAAAAAAGAAAACGAGACCAAGUAAUAAAGCAGAAGGAAGAAGAAGCACAGAAGAAGAAAUCCGACUUGGAAAUAGAGCUAUUAAAACGGCAGCAGAAGUUGGAGCA